GGCUGUAGCAGUCAAGCGGAAAGAAGUUAACUAGAAGAGGACGCUCUGCCGGGAGAAGGCGUGAGCCUGCACACAGGCCGCGUCAGAACAAAGUCUUGCACACGAGAUUUGUUGUUCCGAGGCAGAACUUUCCUUGACGUGAUGAAUAGUCCAUGAGGGCAUAGAAAGUUCAGGGGAGGGUGCACUGCUGCAGGUGGAAAGAGCCUUUGUAUAACAUAGGAAAUUAAUAGUGUCAUGUAGAACUUGGCUUUGAUGAUUUCGUAAAGCAUGCCUGUUAUCAUUGUUACUCACUGUGCUCCAUUGUUAUUUGCUGUGCUCACCCCCAAUAAAAGCCAGAAGGGAUCAGAGGACCUUUGCUACACGCCUGAGCGAGCGGUAGCCCUCUCUCUACUUCAUCCCACACGCCAAGCUUGCCUCAGUGUCUCAGAUCACUCAGAACAUCAACAAAUGGCGCCUGAACAGGUCAGGGACCCGAAGGAACCAAGAAGUUCUGGAGUCCUGAUAAAAGAAUCAAAUUGAGGCAUGGCGAGCAAGAGGAAGUGUGAUGAAGCGGGACUGGAAGACCGGUUUGCGCAGCUAACCAUCCAGGGAGGACAAACAAUUCGCACGCCGUUGCCUCACACCUGAAACCCCCCUCCACCUACACGGGGACAGGUGAAGCGCCUAUGCCAGGAAGGGGAGCGUCUUGUGACUGCCCAUGGAAGGCCCUGUAACUAAUGACUCUAAUUGGAUGUCUGGACUUUUUAAAGAUCGUGGGCCUUUGAAACCAGAUGCCGGAAUGCCUGUGUGCCUGGGACUGGGUGGUCAUUGUUUGCAAUCGUGUUUUAAAGCCUGGUUGAGUGUGGCUGAAAACACCACUAAUUCUUGAAAGGACCAGUUCAAUGGACUCAAACUACUGGGGAAAUAUCUUGUUUUAAUUGUACUUUGUUAACCUGUGUAAAUAACUCUGUACCUUUUAAUCACAGUAGAGAGAGCUUGUAUCUACCGCGAGCCAGAACAGCAGUAUGGUUACCUGUGCAGAUGGAUCGACGAUGGCAGAAAAGUUCUCUAGCUGGAGCUCUCCAAGCCAUUGUAGAAGGAAUAUU